rnacentral:rRNA from 1 species
GUAUUUGUUAUGUUCUUGAAACCCAAAGAAUUUGGCGGUAUUUUAUUCUUUCCAGAGGAACCUGUUCCUUGAUUGAUAAUCCACGAUUUUAUUUACUUAUUCGUUUUUAUACCUCCGUCAUAAGAAUAUUUUUUUAGAAAUUUUCAUGUCAGGUCAAGGUGAAGCUAAUGGUUAAGAAUGGGUUACAAUAAAUUUAUGAAGGUGGAUUUGGGCUCUAAAUAUGUACACAUCGCC